rnacentral:misc_RNA from 1 species
GUGAAUCAUCAAAUUUUUGAACGCAAAUUGCGCUUCCUGGCAUCCCGGGGAGUAUGCCUGUUUGAGGGUCAGUAUUAACAAAAAAUCGGUUUGUUUGCAAAGUGUUACGUUUCCUGAGAUUGGACUAUCUUAACUUUUUUGAUUGAGAGGCUCAGAAUUUACCUUUUUUGCGCACUUUUAGACAUACAUAAAUUUUUUUUUAUUCGUCUAUGCUUAAUGCCAAGAUCUUAUUAGAUGCAAUCACAUCGUGUGGUUUAGUGUCAA